CCAGAGGACUCAAGACAUGGUGGUUACUAAUAGACUUCCCACAGUCCUUCUUCAUUCCAUGUGGACUCCUUCAAGGGCGGUGAGCAUCACAGCUUCCCUUGAACUUUGUCUGGUUUCCUUUGCAGGGUGUUAAUGUGCAGAUUCCAGUACUGUGGCUACAGUGAGUAAUGCUGCCAUUAUUCAUGAGAGCAACUCUACUAAGUCAACGCUUGUGUCACUCAAGAUACAGGUCCCAUUUCAUUCGUAUGCAUAUGUAUGCUCAUCACUUUUCAUCAUUUUUUGAAAAGACGAUUGUUUUGAAAGGUUGUUGCCUAACCAUGAAAGAUGCUGGGAUUCUUGGCCUCCUCAGGAGAAGAAUUCAAUCCGGGGCCAGU